GAUGAACGCUGGCGGCGUGCCUAAUACAUGCAAGUCGAGCGAAUGGAUUAAGAGCUUGCUCUUAUGAAGCUAGCGGCGGACGGGUGAGUAACACGUGGGUAACCUGCCCAUAAGACUGGGAUAACUCCGGGAAACCGGGGCUAAUACCGGAUAAUAUUUUGAACUGCAUGGUUCAAAAUUGAAAGGCGGCUUCGGCUGUCACUUAUGGAUGGACCCGCGUCGCAUUAGCUAGUUGGUGAGGUAACGGCUCACCAAGGCAACGAUGCGUAGCCGGACUGAGAGGGUGAUCGGCCACACGGGGACUGAGACACGGCCCAGACUCCUACGGGAGGUAGCAGUAGGGAAUCUUCCGCAAUGGACGAAAGUCUGACGGAGCAACGCCGCGUGAGUGAUGAAGGCUUUCGGGUCGUAAAACUCUGUUGUUAGGGAAGAACAAGUGCUAGUUGAAUAAGCUGGCACCUUGACGGUACCUAACCAGAAAGCCACGGCUAACUACGUGCCAGCAGCCGCAGUAA
rnacentral:rRNA from 1 species